CCCUUAGAUGUCCUGGGCCGCACGCGCGUUACACUGAUGCAUUCAACGAGCUUAUAACCUUGGCCGAGAGGCCUGGGCAAUCUUGUUAACGUGCAUCGUGAUAGGGAUAGAUUAUUGAAAUUAUUAAUCUUGAACGAGGAAUUCCUAGUAAACGCAGAUCAUCAAUCUGCAUUGAUUACGUCCCUGCCCUUUGUACACACCGCCCGUCGCACCUACCGAUUGGAUGGUCCGGUGAAGCCCCGGGAUUGUGGUUCUUGCCGCUUUAUUGUAGCGUGACCGCGAGAACUUGUCUAAACCUUAUCAUCUAGAGGAAGGUGAAGUCGUAACA
rnacentral:rRNA from 1 species